ACAUGCAAGUCGAGCGAACAGAUAAGGAGCUUGCUCCUUUGACGUUAGCGGCGGACGGGUGAGUAACACGUGGGUAACCUACCUAUAAGACUGGGAUAACUUCGGGAAACCGGAGCUAAUACCGGAUAACAUUUGGAACCGCAUGGUUCUAAAGUGAAAGAUGGUUUUGCUAUCACUUAUAGAUGGACCCGCGCCGUAUUAGCUAGUUGGUAAGGUAACGGCUUACCAAGGCGACGAUACGUAGCCGACCUGAGAGGGUGAUCGGCCACACUGGAACUGAGACACGGUCCAGACUCCUACGGGAGGCAGCAGUAGGGAAUCUUCCGCAAUGGGCGAAAGCCUGACGGAGCAACGCCGCGUGAGUGAUGAAGGGUUUCGGCUCGUAAAACUCUGUUAUUAGGGAAGAACAAAUGUGUAAGUAACUGUGCACAUCUUGACGGUACCUAAUCAGAAAGCCACGGCUAACUACGUGCCAGCAGCCGCGGUAAUACGUAGGUGGCAAGCGUUAUCCGGAAUUAUUGGGCGUAAAGCGCGCGUAGGCGGUUUCUUAAGUCUGAUGUGAAAGCCCACGGCUCAACCGUGGAGGGUCAUUGGAAACUGGGAAACUUGAGUGCAGAAGAGGAAAGUGGAAUUCCAUGUGUAGCGGUGAAAUGCGCAGAGAUAUGGAGGAACACCAGUGGCGAAGGCGACUUUCUGGUCUGUAACUGACGCUGAUGUGCGAAAGCGUGGGGAUCAAACAGGAUUAGAUACCCUGGUAGUCCACGCCGUAAACGAUGAGUGCUAAGUGUUAGGGGGUUUCCGCCCCUUAGUGCUGCAGCUAACGCAUUAAGCACUCCGCCUGGGGAGUACGACCGCAAGGUUGAAACUCAAAGGAAUUGACGGGGACCCGCACAAGCGGUGGAGCAUGUGGUUUAAUUCGAAGCAACGCGAAGAACCUUACCAAAUCUUGACAUCCUUUGAAAACUCUAGAGAUAGAGCCUUCCCCUUCGGGGGACAAAGUGACAGGUGGUGCAUGGUUGUCGUCAGCUCGUGUCGUGAGAUGUUGGGUUAAGUCCCCGCAACGAGCGCAACCCUUAAGCUUAGUUGCCAUCAUUAGUUGGGCACUCUAGGUUGACUGCCGGUGA
rnacentral:rRNA from 2 species